rnacentral:lncRNA from 1 species
UGAAUCACUAAAAACAAUAUAAAAUUAUGAGGUUAUAGCUCAUUUUUAUGAUAAAAAUUAGCGAUAGCGAUGACUGGAUGGUGGACGGGCGCUUGCUUUCUUGGCAGUUUUCUCGCCUACCAUUUUGCAUCUUGUAACUGUUGAAUACAAAAGCCAUAUGGGCUGUGCAUGUCUCCGUAAAUUAAAUUUCUAAGCGAGCAUUGCCCCGAACUCCACGACUCAUGCAUACACGAGCUUCACCGAAAAGUGGGCGUAACGAGGUAAGGCAACCAGAUUUCGGAAAGUCGGAAUUGCUUGCAGCGUUUUUUUUCCGGUUUUGAGGAUCAUGUGCGUUGACUUGUUCAAUAUUGGAUACAUUGACGUUCAAAUUCUAUCCAAAGCAAGGAAUGAUUCUUAGGUCCGAAGGUUAAUCCCCGUGGAUACAUUAUUCCUUAGCCAUGAGCCAUAGACGCUUGCGAUAGCUCUGCCUUACAGGAAUGCCGUCAUCCUACAACGCUUCCUUCGUUUCCCGAAUGCUUCCGGAACUUCCAUGCAUAUCACAAUGCCUGCCGCGCAGCCUUUGGCAUCUGACAAUUCCUCUAGUGCAUCGCGCCAAAUUGGCUAAAACAGAUGGUGGUGAACUGAAUAAUGGCAGGGAUUAAAUUGGCAACAAGUCGAUCACAUCAACGCUGCGCAACAGCUGGGACCCACGAUCACGCGAGCUACGUUGGACAUACAACAGCAUGAAUUUCCUUAUAGUAGUUCGGGCUGAAACAGUUGGAAGCAAGAACGUGUAAGUUACCCCUUGUUCGUAAACCAAGUGUCAGUCAUUUAAGC